GUAGGUGAACCUGCGGAAGGAUCAGUAGAGAAAACUGGGUCUUCGGACCCGAUCUACCCCACACACACCUGUGAACCGUUUAUUGGAUGCGUCCUCCGGGACGCGUCCUACUUUACAAAACAUCUUAUAAUAAGUCUUGAACGUCAAUGUUAUAUCUUAACAAAAACAAAACUUUCAACAACGGAUCUCUUGGCUCCC
rnacentral:misc_RNA from 1 species